rnacentral:rRNA from 1 species
AGAGUUUGAUCAUGGCUCAGGAUGAACGCUGGCGGCGUGCUUAACACAUGCAAGUCGAACGAGGAAUUUUGAGUGAGACUUCGGUGGAUUUUAAAAUUCUUAGUGGCGGACGGGUGAGUAACGCGUGGGCAACCUGCCCUGUACAGGGGGACAACAGCUGGAAACGGCUGCUAAUACCGCAUAAGCGCACAGCAUCGCAUGAUGCCGUGUGAAAAACUCCGGUGGUACAGGAUGGGCCCGCGUUGGAUUAGGUAGUUGGUGGGGUAACGGCCUACCAAGCCGACGAUCCAUAGCCGACCUGAGAGGGUGACCGGCCACAUUGGGACUGAGACACGGCCCAAACUCCUACGGGAGGCAGCAGUGGGGAAUAUUGCACAAUGGGGGAAACCCUGAUGCAGCGACGCCGCGUGAGCGAAGAAGUAUUUCGGUAUGUAAAGCUCUAUCAGCAGGGAAGAAAAUGACGGUACCUGACUAAGAAGCCCCGGCUAACUACGUGCCAGCAGCCGCGGUAAUACGUAGGGGGCAAGCGUUAUCCGGAUUUACUGGGUGUAAAGGGAGCGUAGACGGCUUUGCAAGUCUGAUGUGAAAGGCGGGGGCUCAACCCCUGGACUGCAUUGGAAACUGUGAGGCUUGAGUGCCGGAGAGGUAAGCGGAAUUCCUAGUGUAGCGGUGAAAUGCGUAGAUAUUAGGAGGAACACCAGUGGCGAAGGCGGCUUACUGGACGGUAACUGACGUUGAGGCUCGAAAGCGUGGGGAGCAAACAGGAUUAGAUACCCUGGUAUUCCACGCCGUAAACGAUGAUGGCUAACCGCCGGCGACACACUGUCGGUGGCCAAGCGAAAGCGAUAAGCCAUUCACCUGGGGAGUACGUCGGCAACGAUGAAACUCAAAGGAAUUGACGGGGGCCCGCACAAGCGGAGGAACAUGUGGUUUAAUUCGAUGAUACGCGAGGAACCUUACCCGGGCUCGAACGGCACCUGGAUCACCCAGAGAUGGGCGAGUCUUCGGACAGGUGUCGAGGUGCUGCAUGGUUGUCGUCAGCUCGUGCCGUGAGGUGUCGGCUCAAGUGCCAUAACGAGCGCAACCCUUGCCGCCAGUUGCCAUCAGGUGAUGCUGGGCACUCUGGCGGGACUGCCACCGCAAGGUGUGAGGAGGGGGGGAUGACGUCAAAUCAGCACGGCCCUUACGUCCGGGGCGACACACGUGUUACAAUGGCGGCCACAGAGGGAAGCUACCCCGCGAGGGGAUGCGGAUCUCGAAAAGCCGUCCCAGUUCGGACUGGAGUCUGCAACCCGACUCCACGAAGUUGGAUUCGCUAGUAAUCGCGCAUCAGCCAUGGCGCGGUGAAUACGUUCCCGGGCCUUGUACACACCGCCCGUCAAGCCAUGGAAGCCGCGGGCGCCUGAAGUCCGUGACCGGAAGGAGCGGCCUAGGGCGAAAGUGGUAACUGGGGCUAAGUCGUAACAAGGUA